AUACUUAAGUAGUAAUAGGUAUAGUCUUGAAACUUAAAGAAAUUGGCGGUAUUUUAAUCUUUUCAGAGGAACCUGUUCUAUAAUCGAUAUUCCACGUUUAAUUUUACUAAAAUAUUUGUAUACCGUUGUCGAAAGAAUCAAUUUUCUAAUAUUUUAAUUAAAAUUAAUGUCAAAUCAAGGUGCAGUUUAUAAUUUAGAAGAAAUGGGUUACAAUAAAAUUAUUUAGAAUUUUAAUGAAGGUGGAUUUGAUUGUAAAUUAGUUAUAAAAAAUCUAAUUGAUAGAAGUUCUAAAAUAUGU
rnacentral:rRNA from 1 species